UACGUAGGGUGCAAGCGUUAAUCGGAAUUACUGGGCGUAAAGCGUGCGCAGGCGGCUUUGCAAGACAGAUGUGAAAUCCCCGGGCUUAACCUGGGAGCUGCAUUUGUGACUGCAAGGCUAGAGUACGGCAGAGGGGGAUGGAAUUCCGCGUGUAGCAGUGAAAUGCGUAGAUAUGCGGAGGAACACCGAUGGCGAAGGCAAUCCCCUGGGCCUGUACUGACGCUCAUGCACGAAAGCGUGGGGAGCAAACAGG
rnacentral:rRNA from 1 species